rnacentral:piRNA from 1 species
UCUUAAGGUCCUAAAAAGGUGUCUCCCAUC